GAUACUUUUUCUUUGGCAUGAUUCGUUAUAAUCGAUAGAGUGAUGCCAUGUGAAAAACAAAAUAAACCGUUACAACUCUCGAAUGCCUCUGUUAUUUGCUUUCACUUUUGGAUAUUCAAAAUUAUAUGGCAUGAGGUUUUGUGGGCAGCAUGAGGAGAUACUCUUUUAUAGAAAAACAAACCCCAGACUAUUCGACACUUAAGCUCUUACGUAAACUUCUGUCAUUUUUACCUUAAUGAUGAACGAACAACCGAGCAGGUAGAAAGUAUGAAUAAAUAAUCAGCUCCAUGCUACUGUUUUGCUUUAGAGAAUCAUGCAUUCAAGAUUCAGUUGUUAUAGCAGUCUAGAAGUGGAAUUACCAGCCUUUUAUCCAUGACAUUCUAUAUUUCGUAACUUGUUUCAGUGCACUAUUUUAGUACGGAAAAUUUAGCUCAUGUACCACUGCGAUUUUAGUUUCAUACCAGACUAUAUUUUCACAUAAUAUAUGUAAUAAAGGAACGAACUGAUGGUUUCCUAUUUUUGUAAAUAUGUGUCGCUUUCUGUUUGAUGAAAUUUGUGUGGUUUGUAGACCAUUCUUCUGUUGGUGGCAAGUGAAGCUUUUUCUUUAUAGAGUUGGCAAGUAUAAACUGAUUGUGAGGGUAUGGACUGUGUUCUUGCUGAUCUUACUGCACAUGUAUUUAAGUUAUUUCUAGAUUACACAUUCCAUUGCAGUGGCUAUCUUUGCACUGUGUUCACAAACUGAAAGUCUUAUCUUGCUUCAUUUUGUUUCUUUGGUGUGUUCCAACUUUACACCACAUAUAUAUGCAUGGAGUAUAGCCUUCUGAUUCUUGUGCCAUUAAUGUAGCCGAUGAAAUUCCACACAACAACAUACAUUUUGGUAUCCUGCCAUAGAACAGAUAUGCUUCUUCCAUUCUCUUACUGGGUAUUUAAAUUCAGAUAACCAUUUCUAUUCAGGUGCAUGUGCUGAAUAGUGUUCCCACUCUUCUUCGGCUUCAAGGAUUCCCCAAUGAUAGGCGCGCACAAAACUUUGUUCUUCGAUGUUGGAUAUCGCAGACAGAUGUCAGUUGGACUUUCCUAGAUCUGCAUCCUAGCUUAGGAGAGCUUCCACAGUUGUAGGCUGAAUCAACAACUUGUGCCAAAUUCAGAAGAUUCUACAUGGUGUCCCUACAUAGUAUUCCUGGGAAUUUAUGCAUGUGAUUCAUAAUUUUAUACAUCAUACAUUAAAAUUGUAUCCGCUCAGAGGGACUCUGGCCGGAGAGGUGAAUUCUUAAAUACUAAGUUCAUUGUUUCUAGAUUAUUUGGACUGGAUCUAUGUAUGCUUAAUUGUCACAUCGGGUUGAUCCGAACCACCCCAUCAUUCACUAAUCUUUCAACACAGGUAAUUUAUUGUAUGUCUCAUGAUUAUUUGUUCUCAAUCAGUCUACCAUGAUUCCAACGGAUAAGAGGUUAUGCACGAAAGUUGAGCGAGAGGAAGAAAACAUACAACAAAAUUUUCCAACGGUGAUGAAUUUUGGUGAUGCGAGUUGGAGGUGAAAGAUAUUUCUAUGUUGUUUGUGUACGCCGGAGUCUGAAAAUCGUGUUGAUUCCUUUCAUUGGUAUCCUGUAAAUAUGACCUAAGUGUCCGUUGCGGCGAUGUUUCUAUGCACCUUCUGUGCAUGUUGCGCCAUGCUCGAUUUAUGUGUUUGCCAUUUUGAUCCAUUUUGCUUUAGGCAAAGCCUUUUUCUAAAUAAAAAAUUGUUUUGUUUUCGAGCAUGACCUUAUAACUGUCAUUUUCAUCGUAUACAUAUAUUAUUCAACAUAAUUAUGUUAUUAUCA